UGGGGAAUAUUGCACAAUGGGCGCAAGCCUGAUGCAGCCAUGCCGCGUGUGUGAAGAAGGCCUUCGGGUUGUAAAGCACUUUCAGCGGGGAGGAAGGCGGUGAGGUUAAUAACCUCACCGAUUGACGUUACCCGCAGAAGAAGCACCGGCUAACUCCGUGCCAGCAGCCGCGGUAAUACGGAGGGUGCAAGCGUUAAUCGGAAUUACUGGGCGUAAAGCGCACGCAGGCGGUCUGUCAAGUCGGAUGUGAAAUCCCCGGGCUCAACCUGGGAACUGCAUUCGAAACUGGCAGGCUAGAGUCUUGUAGAGGGGGGUAGAAUUCCAGGUGUAGCGGUGAAAUACGUAGAGAUCUGGAGGAAUACCGGUGGCGAAGGCGGCCCCCUGGACAAAGACUGACGCUCAGGUGCGAAAGCGUGGGGAGCAAACAGG
rnacentral:rRNA from 1 species